AAAGGGUACCUAGACGGAAAAUCAAGCCAAAUAAAGGGACUAAUAUUCUAGAGUUUUAUAAAAGAAGAUGGAAUUUUCGGAGUAGAGUUGAAAUUCAGUUAUACCGUGAAGACUGGUAACGGCGAAGGCAAUCUUCUAUGUAAAAACUGACGUUGAGGGACGAAGCCUAGGGUAACGAUAAGGAUUAGAGACCCUAAUAGUCCUAGGAGAAAAUUAUGAAUGUCAUAAGCUAGAUUAUUUUAGUUUAUAAAUGAAAGUGUAAGCAUUCCACCUCAUGAGUAAAGCGGCAACGCUCAAAUUGAAAUCAUUAGACCGUUUCUGAAACCAGUAGUGAAGUAUGUUAUUUAAUUCGAUGAUCCGCGAAUAACCUUACCACAAUUUGAAUAUUUUACAAGUGCUGCACGGCUGUCUUUAGCUAAUGUCGUGAGAUUUGGUUAACUCCUCUAAUUAGCGCAAGCCCUUGCUUUAUUUAUUUUUUUCAUAAAGUAGUUCACCAAUAUAUCAGUACAGAUAAUAGGGAUUAAGACAAGUCAUCAUGGCCUUAAUAUUGU
rnacentral:rRNA from 1 species